GGCAUCUCUGACACCUACAGCAGAGGUGACAAAAUAUCGGACGCAACAUAUCUGCCAAUCGCUAUCCGCAGAGGAAACAGAAAUAUAAAAAAAGUCUCUUUGGACCGACUGCACGCCUGUUUGCAAGCCCAAAACAGUUCCACAGACUCAGGCUGUGCAGUCUGUCUAUUUCUGCCCUGAAAAAUGGCAAAGUCCCAUCCGAAGGUGGCGUUCCAAUCGUCAAGCGCACUUCGGUCGAAGUGAAACCGGGGUUGUGUUCCAGUGGUGUUCGAUGGUCUAUUUUACACCAGAGCGACUAAGUCCCAUUUGAACAGGUGUUCGAAUCUUCAAACGGGACUUAGUUUCCAGCCGCAGUGCCGAAGGGUAGGGGAAGGUACAGGUCAGCGGUGUUUGUUCCAAUGUGUGGCCAAUUUCCGUUCCAGGGAUUUGACAGCACACACCGCUGACCGCGUUCGACAGGAUUAAAAUGGCCACCGCUGUAUCACGAAGUGCCAUAUCAAACAUACUAAUCCUUUGUACAAAACAGUUAAAGGGCCAGACAUAAUCUUGGUUCUUUAGGCACAGGCAAUGUGGGUGAAGGUAAACCAAACACAACGGUAGCGGUUCCCAGGCAACAUGGUAGGGGGUUGUUACACCUGGUAUAUGUAAUCCUCAUUCGGUAGUUUCCUCCUGAACCGCCAGAGCGCCAGUGAAUAUAGCUCUCCGUUCGGUAGAUGAAAUAGACGAACUGUAUAGUAAUCCAAAUAGCUUCAGAAGAGAAUUCCCUUAAUAAAGCACACGAAGCCCCAAACAUCAGCCGAAGUCAAGAAGAAGGGUACAACUGAACUGAGCUUUAAUGAUCACACACAGGCUUUUAUGCAAGUCCCCAUGCAAGGGGACAUCCCACAGGGAGGGACAGAGUUUAACCAAUCCGGCACAGUAAAAACAUAAAACACACCAGGUACACACAUACAAUUCCCUCCCCUAGUCCUGUAGAUAAUCAAGUCUGAUAAAAUAAUAACUUUAUUAUCUCCAGGCAGAAAAAUCAAAAUUUUCCCCAAUAUCUGGAACACCCCUUUAUACAUGAGGUAUCCCCACAAAUAAUAUGUCACCUGAUAGCCCCGAUCUGGGUGACCAACAUAUUCAAAUUUCACCCAGAUCGGUUCAGGGGUUCUCAAAAAAGGUGGAAAUCCCUUCGGCUAACCGUGGGCUGGCUGCCCAAAAUAGUUCCAUGAGUUUGGGUGGUUUUGCCGGUCACUUCAGUAAAG